rnacentral:misc_RNA from 1 species
GAUGAAGAACGCAGCGAAACGCGAUACGUAAUGUGAAUUGCAGAAUUCAGUGAAUCAUCGAAUCUUUGAACGCACAUUGCGCCCGCCAGUAUUCUGGCGGGCAUGCCUGUCCGAGCGUCAUUUCAACCCUCGAACCCCUCCGGGGGGUCGGCGUUGGGGAUCGGCCCUUUACGGGGCCGGCCCCGAAAUACAGUGGCGGUCUCGCCGCAGCCUCUCCUGCGCAGUAGUUUGCACACUCGCAUCGGGAGCGCGGCGCGUCCACAGCCGUUAAACACCCCAAACUUCUGAAAUGUUGACCUCGGAUCAGGUAGGAAUACCCGCUGAACUUAAGCAUAUCAAUAAGCGAGGA